rnacentral:ncRNA from 2 species
UCACGACUUCAGGGCAGGGUGCAAUUCCCGACCGGCGGUAAACCCCGCGAGCCGAGUUUCGGCAUGAAUCGGUGCGAUUCCGAUGGCGACAGUACAGUCUGGAUGGAAGAGGUUGAUU